GCCAGAAUGGUCUAGUGGUUUGUACAUUGUACUAUGAUUCUGGAGACCAGGGUUCAAAUCCAUGCUCAGCUA